rnacentral:rRNA from 1 species
GACGAACGCUGGCGGCGUGCCUAAUACAUGCAAGUCGAGCGGACUUUUGGGAGCUUGCUCCCAAAAGUUAGCGGCAGACGGGUGAGUAACACGUGGGCAACCUGCCUAUAAGACUGGGAUAACUUCGGGAAACCGGAGAUAAUAACGGAUAAUUCCUUUCCUUCAAUGGGGGAAGGCUGAAAGACGGUUUUCGCUGUCACCUAUAGAUGUGCGCGAGGCGCAUUAGCUAGUUGGUGAGGUAACGGCACACCAAGGCGACGAUGGGUAGACGACCUGGGAGGGUGAUCGGCCACACUGGGACUGAGACACGGCCCAGACUCCUACGGGAGGCAGCAGUAGGGAAUCUUCCUCGAUGGACGGAAGUCUGACGGAGCAACGCCGCGUGAGUGAUGAAGGUUUUCGUAUCGUAAGACUCUGUUUUUAGGGAAGAACAAGGACGAGAGUAACUGCUCGUACCUUUACGGUACCUAACCAGGAAGCCGCGGCUAACUACGUGCCAGCCGCCGCCGCGG